rnacentral:rRNA from 1 species
UACGAAGGGGGGCUAGCGUUGCUCGGAAUCACUGGGCGUAAAGGGUGCGUAGGCGGAUUGCUAAGUCAGGGGUGAAAUCCUGGAGCUCAACUCCAGAACUGCCCUUGAUACUGGCGGUCUCGAGUCCGGGAGAGGCGAGUGGAAUUCCUGGUGUAGCGGUGGAAUGCGCAGAUAUCAGGAGGAACACCAAUAGCGAAGGCAGCUCGCUGGGACGGUAUUGACGCUGAGGCGCGAAAGCUAGGGGAGCAAACAGG